rnacentral:tRNA from 2 species
GGGCCAUUAGCUCAGUUGGUUAGAGCAGCUGACUCUUAAUCAGCGGGUCCGGGGUUCGAGUCCCUGAUGGCUCA